AUUGAACGCUGGCGGCAGGCCUAACACAUGCAAGUCGAGCGGAUGAAGUGAGCUUGCUCCUGGAUUCAGCGGCGGACGGGUGAGUAAUUCCUAGGAAUCUGCCUGGUCGUGGGGGAUAACGUCCGGAAACGGGCGCUAAUACCGCAUACGUCCUGAGGGAGAAAGUGGGGUAUCUUCGGACCUCACGCUAUCAGAUGAGCCUAGGUCGGAUUCGCUAGUUGGUGGGGUAAAGGCCUACCAAGGCGACGAUCCGUAACUGGUCUGAGAGGAUGAUCAGUCACACGGGAACUGAGAAACGGUCAAGACUACAACGGGAGGAAGCAGUGGGGAAUAUUGGACAAUGGGCGAAAGCCUGAUCCAGACAUGCCGCGUGUGUGAAGAAGGUCUUCGGAUUGUAAAGCACUUUAAGUGGGGAGGAAGGGCAGUAAGUUAAUAACUUGCUGUUUUGACGUUACCAACAGAAUAAGCACCGGCUAACUUCGUG
rnacentral:rRNA from 1 species